rnacentral:lncRNA from 1 species
GAUUUUCCUACAAUACUGCCACGAAAAAAUAAAUAAAUGAAUGAAUAAAUAAAUAACUACUUAGUUUCCAGUAUCUGAACUCUUAGGCUGUUUGGCAUUCUCCCAAGUUUCCAGUAUCUGAACUCUUAGGCUGUUUGGCAUUCUCCCAAGUUUCCAGUAUCUGAACUCUUAGGCUGUUUGGCAUUCUCCCAAGUUUCCAGUAUCUGAACUCUUAGGCUGUUUGGCAUUCUCCCAAGUUUCCAGUAUCUGAACUCUUAGGCUGUUUGGCAUUCUCCCAAGUUUCCAGUAUCUGAACUCUUAGGCUGUUUGGCAUUCUCCCAUUGCUUGACCAAAUGAGCAUAUCCUUCAGCUGAAAUAAAAGCAAAUUCUGUCAGUGAAUUCAUGGCUACUGA